rnacentral:rRNA from 1 species
AGUUAUCGUUUAUUUGAUAGUACCUUACUACUUGGAUAACCGUGGUAAUUCUAGAGCUAAUACAUGCUAAAAACCCCAACUUCGGGAGGGGUGUAUUUAUUAGAUAAAAAACCAACGCCCUUCGGGGCUUCUUGGUGAUUCAUGAUAACUUUACGGAUCGCAUGGCCUUGCGCCGGCGACGGUUCAUUCAAAUUUCUGCCCUAUCAACUUUCGAUGGUAAGGUAUUGGCUUACCAUGGUUUCAACGGGUAACGGGGAAUUAGGGUUCGAUUCCGGAGAGGGAGCCUGAGAAACGGCUACCACAUCCAAGGAAGGCAGCAGGCGCGCAAAUUACCCAAUCCCGACACGGGGAGGUAGUGACAAUAAAUACUGAUACAGGGCUCUUUUGGGUCUUGUAAUUGGAAUGAGUACAAUUUAAACCUCUUAACGAGGAACAAUUGGAGGGCAAGUCUGGUGCCAGCAGCCGCGGUAAUUCCAGCUCCAAUAGCGUAUAUUAAAGUUGUUGCAGUUAAAAAGCUCGUAGUUGAAACUUGGGUCUGGCUGGCAGGUCCGCCUCACCGCGUGUACUUGUCCGGCCGGGCCUUCCUUCUGGAGAACCUCAUGCCCUUCACUGGGCGUGUUGGGGACCAGGACUUUUACUUUGAAAAAAUUAGAGUGUUCAAAGCAGGCCUUUGCUCGAAUACGUUAGCAUGGAAUAAUAGAAUAGGACGUGCGGUCCUAUUUUGUUGGUUUCUAGGACCGCCGUAAUGAUUAAUAGGGACAGUCGGGGGCAUCAGUAUUCAAUUGUCAGAGGUGAAAUUCUUGGAUUUAUUGAAGACUAACUACUGCGAAAGCAUUUGCCAAGGAUGUUUUCAUUAAUCAGUGAACGAAAGUUAGGGGAUCGAAGACGAUCAGAUACCGUCGUAGUCUUAACCGUAAACUAUGCCGACUAGGGAUCGGGCGAUGUUCUUUUUCUGACUCGCUCGGCACCUUACGAGAAAUCAA